UUGGGAUUAGUGUUCCGGCGCUUGGAUCGGGUGCCGGAGUUGGGAGAAUUAGGGUUUUUGGAGCCGGAUCUAUGGUCAUCGUGAUUGUUUCUGUGGUGUUGUUGUAGUUGUUGUUGCUGUUUGAUAGCUCGCUUCUGAAGGUCUAGAAGAGAUGGCCUCCCUUUCUUCUUCUUCUUCGUCAUUGUUUCUGCUACCUCACCCAUCCUCGCUUCUCUCUCUCUCUCCUCGCAACCUUUUUCUUUCUCCUCCAAGAGAGGCGUUUGGUUUUGUGUUUUCUUACGUUUUUUAAUAUUAAAAAUUGAAAUUAAAAUUCUUACUUGUGUGAAAUCGCACGUGUAGAAAGUGUAACGUAGACCUGGGCUAGUUCGUGAUUCACCUAAGAUUUUAGGUUACAUAAAUGUGCUGCAAUAAUGUUUCUAACUAUUUGGGCCUUAACAGGCUCGAUACCAUUUUCUGUAAUAUGACCCACCUGUUAUAAAAAAUGAUUAAUCAUCUUGCAUGGACACACUUGUCUUCACCACCUUAUGUUUCUUGCAUUAUCACUAGGACACUUGUCCAUUUUUCUCCUUAUGUCGGUCAAAAUAAACAGACUGAUUUCUCCUAUAAAUAUGUUGUACCUGUUCCUUUUAAAUAAUAAUCAUAAAUGGAGUAAUGAUAACUCCCUUUCUCUCUACGUUUCCAAAUUCACAAAUCAAUAUAUAACUAUAAUAAAUAUAGUAAAUCAGUUUCGAAGUUUCUCGCGUAGUUUACAACACGUUAUCAGCACGAAACUCUGGCCAACUGAGGUUUAUCAAUCUGAAAGUUCUUAAACCAGCCGAGGUAAUGUUUAAAUUUAUGUAUUUCAAUAUAUUUAAUUUAUUUAAAUUUUAUUAUUAUUUCGGAGUGAGAGGCUAGGCCUUCUCCGUCUAUUUAUCGGGAUGGUAGACGUUGUCUUUCCCGACUGAUCGUUAUGGUAGGCUAUGCCUUCACGAUCAGAAGGUCACGUGGUAGGCUUUACCUUCGUGAAUUGAAAAAAAAAUUACGUGGAAGGCUUUGCCUCCGUAAAUAAAAAGAAAAGGUAAAAAAUGGUAGACUAAGUCUCCUCAGACCUUGAAUAAAAAUAAAAGGUUAAUAUGGUAGACACUGUCUCCUCAAACCUUGAUAAAAAUGAUCAAUAUGGUAGUCUAUGACUCCUCGGAUCAUGUGGUAGGCUAAGCCUCCCGAUUUUAUUUAUGCUAUUUAAAUUUCUGCAAUUUAAGUUUAUGAUUUUAUGCCUUUAAUUUCUGCAUUUAAAUUAUGCAUUUCAAUUUUCGUCUUUAUAUAUUAUUAUUCUAUGAAUUUGGUUAUCAUGUCAAAUUCGACAAAGCUCAAAAUAAAUACCCUUGAUAUUACGGAAAAUAGUUAUAUGACCUGGGCAGUGGGUGCAAAGAUGCACCUAAGAUAAAAUCAGCUUUUAGAAAUCAUUGAUAAGUUGAAACUAUAUCGGAUGAGAAGAAGGUAAAGCCAUGAUAAUUUACACCACUUUAAUGCGCCGCCGUCACCGCCGAUCUUCCGUCUAUUGACGGGAGACUCGACGAGGUUCAGAUCGGAGCCGCGCGAUUGGGGAUUAGGAGAAUGACGAUUGGAGUGGGAGUUUAAUCCGUACAGGAGCUUGUGUUUCUUCUCGCGCCGCUCGUCGUCGUCUUCCUCGCUCAAGGGGGAAUCGGAGAAGGAGACUCCGUUGGGAUUAGUGUUCCGGCGCUUGGAUCGGGUGCCGGAGUUGGGAGAAUUAGGGUUUUUGGAGCCGGAUCUAUGGUCAUCGUGAUUGUUUCUGUGGUGUUGUUGUAGUUGUUGUUGCUGUUUGAUAGCUCGCUUCUGAAGGUCUAGAAGAGAUGGCCUCCCUUUCUUCUUCUUCUUCGUCAUUGUUUCUGCUACCUCACCCAUCCUCGCUUCUCUCUCUCUCUCCUCGCAACCUUUUUCUUUCUCCUCCAAGAGAGGCGUUUGGUUUUGUGUUUUC
rnacentral:lncRNA from 1 species